UACGGGGGGGGCAAGCGUUGUUCGGAAUUACUGGGCGUAAAGGGCGCGUAGGCGGCCCGCUAAGUCAGACGUGAAAUCCCUCGGCUCAACCGGGGAACUGCGUCUGAUACUGGCAGGCUUGAAUCCGGGAGAGGGAUGUGGAAUUCCAGGUGUAGCGGUGAAAUGCGUAGAUAUCUGGAGGAACACCGGUGGCGAAGGCGGCAUCCUGGACCGGUAUUGACGCUGAGGCGCGAAAGCGUGGGGAGCGAUCCGG
rnacentral:rRNA from 1 species